AUUGAACGCUGGCGGCAGGCCUAACACAUGCAAGUCGAGCGGAGCGGCGGACGGGUGAGUAAGAACUAGGAAUCUGCCUGGUAGUGGGGGAUAACGUUCGGAAACGGACGCUAAUACCGAAUACGAUGAGAUGAGUCUAGGUCGGAUUAGUUAGUUGGUGGGGUAAUGGAUCACCAAGGUUACGAUCCGUAACUGGUAUGAGUGGAUGAUCAGUCACACUGGCACUGAGACACGGUCCCGACUCCUACGGGAGGCAGCAGUGGGGAAUAUUGGACAAUGGGCGAAAGCCUGAUCCAGCCAUGCCGCGUGUGUGAAGAAGGUCUUCGGAUUGUAAAGCACUUUAAGUUGGGAGGCGUUACCGACAGAAUAAGCACCGGCUAACUCUGUGCCAGCCGCCGCGGUAAUAC
rnacentral:rRNA from 1 species